CAAGCACAUGUUGAUCAUCCUCUUAUUCAUGCAGGUGCCGAGGCUCCCAAUAAGGAGACUCCAUCUUUUAUUGACCUCAAGAAGAAUAUACCCUUUCCCAUUACUUAUUACACACUUACAGAUAAGGAACUAGAAGAAAAUGGAUACUGUUAUGAGCAACCAGAAUUUCUUUCAACGCUUCCUGCUCCAUCAGGAACACCUCCACAUGAAGUUUUGGCUCUUGACUGUGAGAUGUGUAUUACAAGGGAAGGCUUUGAGCUUACCAGAGUGACAAUAGUGGAUGUUACAGGACAGGUUAUACUGGAUAAAUUGGUCAAACCAUCAAAUGACAUUGUUGACUACAAUACUAGGUACUUCUUAUGUCUGAUAACUUCUAAAUUUGCAUUUGGACACAGUUGCUAAAAUAUAUACCCCUCCGUUCCAUUUAUAUGACACUAUUUCCUUAUUUGUCCUUUUUAAAAAAGAAUGACUCAAUUCGAAAUUAUGAAGUGAUUUAGUUUUAAACUUCUCAUUUUACCCUUAAUGAGAAGCUUUUAUAGCCAAAGAAAUGCUAUGACACAGUUAGAAACCACAAAAAUGUUAUUUUAUGAUUAAGACCACAAGUUUCAAAUUCUUUUUUUUUGCCUUAAGCUCGUCC